rnacentral:rRNA from 1 species
UACAGAGGUCCCAAGCGUUGUUCGGAUUCACUGGGCGUAAAGGGUGCGUAGGUGGUCGGGUAAGUCCGAUGUGAAAUCUCCGAGCUUAACUCGGAAACUGCAUCGGAUACUAUUCGACUCGAGGGUUGGAGGGGGGGACUGGAAUUCUCGGUGUAGGCAGUGAAAUGCGUAGAUAUCGAGAGGAACACCAGUGGCGAAGGCGGCUCACUGGCCCGGUACUGACGCUGAGGUGCGAAAGCGUGGGGAUCAAACAGG